rnacentral:rRNA from 1 species
AGUGAACGCUGGCGGUAGGCCUAACACAUGCAAGUCGAACGGCAGCACAGUAAGAGCUUGCUCUUACGGGUGGCGAGUGGCGGACGGGUGAGGAAUACAUCGGAAUCUACUUUUUCGUGGGGGAUAACGUAGGGAAACUUACGCUAAUACCGCAUACGACCUACGGGUGAGAGCAGGGGAUCUUCGGACCUUGCGCGAUUGAAUGAGCCGAUGUCGGAUUAGCUAGUUGGCGGGGUAAAGGCCCACCAAGGCGACGAUCCGUAGCUGGUCUGAGAGGAUGAUCAGCCACACUGGAACUGAGACACGGUCCAGACUCCUACGGGAGGCAGCAGUGGGGAAUAUUGGACAAUGGGCGCAAGCCAGAUCCAGCCAUACCGCGUGGGUGAAGAAGGCCUUCGGGUUGUAAAGCCCUUUUGUUGGGAAAGAAAAGCAGCAGGUUAAUACCCCGCUGUUCUGACGGUACCCAAAGAAUAAGCACCGGCUAACUUCGUG